UGGGGAAUAUUGCGCAAUGGGCGAAAGUCUGACGCAGCGACGCCGCGUGAGGGACGAAGGUCUUCGGAUUGUAAACCUCUUUCAGCAGGGACGAAGCGGAAGUGACGGUACCUGCAGAAGAAGCACCGGCUAACUAUGGGCCAGCAGGCGCGGUAAUACAUAGGGGGCAAGCGUUGUCCGGAUUUGUUGGGCGUAAAGGGUUCGUAGGCGGUUUUUCGCGGCGGAUGUGAAAACUCAGGGCUCAAGCCU
rnacentral:rRNA from 1 species